GGUUGUAUAGUAUAGUGGUCAGUACGGCUCGUUGUGGUCGAAAGUCAACCCGCCUCCUUUCGGGGGGGACAAUGGUCUUCUUCAAUUUAGGACGAAAGAUUAUAAUACCGAGCAGACUCAGGUUCGAUUCCUGAUACAGCCA